rnacentral:lncRNA from 1 species
AACAACAAUGGCCACGACAGCAGUUCUAACACUUACUCCUCUCUCCUCCACUUCUUUCUUGACUGCCCAUACUUACUCCAAGCUUUCCUCUGCAUUAACUUCAACUUCCAUCAAACCCAAGUUUAGAAGCUAUCAAAUCAAAGCUAUUAAAGAAAAAGCUGAAGAAAUUCAAACCCCCCCUUCAUCAUCAUCGUCAUCAUCUGUGGAUGAGGUUACAAAGAAGUAUGGCCUUGAAGUUGGGCUAUGGAAGGUACUUGCUCAAUUCUACUCUUUUUCUCAAUAUUUUCUUAUGUUUAAUUUUCUUGACUCAAUUGCUAAGAAACCCCCUAUCACACAAAUUCAGCUUGGUAGUAGGGAGAGUACAAAAAGAAGUCUGCACCAGAUUUUUUUUUUGAACCCCAAACAUACUAUAUGUUAUCUUAAUGGUUACCUACCAUACAGUGUUUGUCAGUUUUGGGGCAUGGGAAGCUAACUUCUUACUACGAUUUCAUGUAUUUUGUGAAUAUAUGAAGAUAUUCAGCUCAAAGGAAGAAGGGGAACAAAAGAAAUCGAAAGGGGAUCAAGCAAAAGAGCUUCUAGCAAAAUAUGGAGGGGCAUACUUGGCAACCUCUAUUACUCUCUCCUUGAUAUCCUUCUCCCUUUGUUAUGCACUAAUCAGUGCAGGCGUUGAUGUUCAAGCACUGCUGCAAAAGGUAAAUUAAAAGAGAAGGGGAGGAGAUAUAUAUAUGUAUGGGUUGUAAAAUUCCCUUAAUUCUUCAUUUCAUGACUUUUGAUGAUGAAAGGUUUUAGAGGACUAACCAUUAGAUGGAAUUUCCAGGUGGGAAUCUCAACUGAUGCUACUGGAGGGAAAGUCGGGACCUUUGCUUUGGCAUAUGCUGCACACAAAGCUGCAUCUCCUAUAAGGUUUCCUCCAACU